GACAGCCAGGAUGUUGGCUUAGAAGCAGCCAUCAUUUAAAGAAAGCGUAAUAGCUCACUGGUCGAGUCGGCCUGCGCGGAAGAUGUAACGGGGCUAAACCAUGCACCGAAGCUGCGGCAGCGACGCUGAUGCGUUGUUGGGUAGGGGAGCGUUCUGUAAGCCUGUGAAGGUGUACUGUGAGGUAUGCUGGAGGUAUCAGAAGUGCGAAUGCUGACAUAAGUAACGAUAAAGCGGGUGAAAAGCCCGCUCGCCGGAAGACCAAGGGUUCCUGUCCAACGUUAAUCGGGGCAGGGUGAGUCGACCCCUAAGG
rnacentral:rRNA from 1 species